rnacentral:RNase_P_RNA from 1 species
AGACUAGGUUAGACAAUCGCUCCGUCAGCAAUGCCGGGGAGGAAAGUCCGAACAUACUCCUACCGUAAGGUUGGGAAAAUAGGUAGCGGGUAACGCCCGUCGUUCGCGAGGAUAGAGGUGACUACAGUGACGUCAAUGGUGAAAACCGGAGACCCCCUUCGGGGAGAAUCCUGUCGAAAGACAGGGGUGCAACGAACAAAUCCUUACCCGUAUGCAAGGCCGUGUCCCGAGAGCAAUCGAGGGAAGUGCCGCUUGAGCUCGUGAGUAAUCACUGGCCAAGAUAAAUGAUUGUCCGCGACAGAAUUCGGCUUAUCGACCUAGUCUGCAA